GGAAGCUUCCUUGCCAUAGCUAGUCACACAUCUCAGAUGUCAGACUGUGUCUGGGCUCCUCGGACUUCUAAAGGACUACCACCCACCCUGCUAACUGUGUCUACCCGUCUCCCUGCGGCAUCUAAGACCACAUGCACCUUACUGAAGAUGUGGCUCCGUCCUCAGCCUGAGGCUCCAUGGGAAUGUAGAGUGUUCAACCCUAUGAGGCAGACACUCGGCGAGACAGAGACAGGGAAGGAAUGGGAUGCUCUGAGUUCCUAUGGACUCUGCUUCACCCUGAGUGCCCAUGUCCUCCUCCUACGUCACAGAUGUGCCUGGGAGAGACAGGAUGUUGACUACCUCCAGCCUCACAUCCAACUCAGUCUUGUCCCUGGGUUAUUGGCCUCUGCUCAUGGUUUCAGUUGACCUGUGGUCCUUCGUGGCUCCUAACAGCGCCUUUGCUCUUGGGCCGUGUUUCAGUCUACACUGUCUCCUGGAAGCCCACUUUUUAUUGUACGUUCCUUGAAUUGUU
rnacentral:lncRNA from 1 species